rnacentral:lncRNA from 10 species
ACAAGAGAAAAUGAGGAAGAUGCAAAAGUGGAAAUCCCUGAUAAACCCAUCAGAUCUCAUGAGACUUAUUCACUACCAUGAGAACAGUGUGGGGGAAACCACCCCCAUGAUUCAAAUUAUCUCCCACUGGGUUCCUCCUACAACACGUGGGAAUUAUGAGAGCAGGCUGGAUUGCAGUGGCGCGAUCUUGGAUCGCUGCAACCUCCGCCUCCUGGGUUCAACUGAUUCUCCUUAGAGUCUAAAUAAAUGAUUGAAUAAAUAAUAAAUGGGAAAGAAAAGAU